GGCACGGCACGGCACGGCACGGCCAUGGCCCCGUGACGGGCGGCCCCGCCAGGAUUCUGCUCAUUGAUGAUUAAAACAUCGCCUGGAAUUUUGGAAUGGAUCAGACGCGUCAGUCAAACACUUCCA